CCUACGGGUGGCAGCAGUGGGGAAUAUUGCGCAAUGGGCGAAAGCCUGACGCAGCGACGCCGCGUGAGGGAUGAAGGUCUUCGGAUCGUAAACCUCUGUCAGCAGGGAAGAGAAUGACGGUACCUGACUAAGAAGCCCCGGCUAACUACGUGCCAGCAGCCGCGGUAAUACGUAGGGGGCAAGCGUUAUCCGGAUUUACUGGGUGUAAAGGGAGCGUAGACGGUUGUGCAAGUCUGAAGUGAAAGCCCGCGGCUCAACUGCGGAACGGCUUUGGAAACUGUGUAACUGGAGUGCUGGAGAGGUAAGCGGAAUUCCUGGUGUAGCGGUGAAAUGCGUAGAGAUCAGGAGGAACACCGGCGGCGAAGGCGGCUUACUGGACAGUAACUGACGUUGAGGCUCGAAAGCGUGGGGAGCAAACAGGAUUAGAUACCCGUGUAGUC
rnacentral:rRNA from 1 species